UUCCACUAGAAUCUAAAUGUAUUUUGGCGAUAAUAAUAUGCUACAGUAUAACAUUUUUCCCAAUCACCAUAUGAUGGAGAGACUAUAUACAAAGAGGCUUUAGUUCCAUAGGAGGAGGGAGCUAAGAAUCAAGAAAACAAAAAAAUGAACCUUUUUUUUGCUUGAGAUCUCUCUUUAGCAACUCAAAAUGCUAAUGUAAGCCAUCUAAUAUAUCCAAAACAGUAGCCUUUGGAUGUUGAAAGUCG
rnacentral:misc_RNA from 1 species